rnacentral:tRNA from 1 species
GGGCGAAUGGUUUAGUGGUAUAAUACUCCCUUAGCAAGCAUCCGCCAAAGGCUUUGACUACUGGGAGUGGUCCGGGGUUCGAUUCCCCGUUUGUCCA